AUGAAAGCAAAUGAGCUCUCAGGUGCUGUGCUUCUGAUUUAUCAUUAGCAAAGAGCAUCCCGGUGUCAGUCCCACAGGGGAGGUGGCUGAGACCAGUCAGCCGUAUUUACAGCCUGUGCCGCUCUGCAGCGAGCCUGACCUCUGCUCUGUAACAAAACCUUCUUGUGAUUCAGGGUUGUACUGGAGUGGAGAUAAAUUAAAGGCCUGAGGGUUUUAUCAGACUAAGUAUGAAUGAUAAAAUAGUGCUGGCAUUCCUGCAGUCGUAUAAUUUAACAUAAGGUUCAUUUAGUUUGAUCAUGCCCCUAAAUUUUUAAUUUUUCACUGUUAGAUUUACUUCCCUCCUUCCUUUUCUGAGAAACUUGUGACUGUUUCAUGGAGAUAUUCUGACAAAUAUGAACAGCUUUGCGGAUGUUACUGGGGCUCUUGGUACCCACAGAAAUUGCUGUCUGGGGUCAGGGAUAAAGCAAAGGAGCUGAAGGCUUGUGAGCAUCUUGGCUUGGGAAGGAACCCCAGCCCUGCUCAGGGGCUGCUGCUGGGAUAUGCUCAGACCACCUCAUGGGGAAAGGCCUUGCAAGAGUCUGGAGGGGAGGCUGCUGUGGGGUUCCAGCAUCCUUGCCUGGUUUGGAAAACAGCUGGUUAGCUGACAAGGGAAUCUGACUGCAUCAAGCA
rnacentral:lncRNA from 1 species